UACGGGGGGGGCAAGCGUUGUUCGGAAUUACUGGGCGUAAAGGGCGCGUAGGCGGCCUGCUAAGUCGGACGUGAAAUCCCUCGGCUUAACCGGGGAACUGCGUCUGAUACUGGAUGGCUUGAGUUCGGGAGAGGGAUGCGGAAUUCCAGGUGUAGCGGUGAAAUGCGUAGAUAUCUGGAGGAACACCGGUGGCGAAGGCGGCAUCCUGGACCAAUUCUGACACUGAGGAGCGAAAGCCAGGGGAGCAAACGGG
rnacentral:rRNA from 1 species